UCAACUGGGUGCACCACGUGAGGGAAGCACGCAUCCCGCACAUCGUGGGCGCGCUGGACGAGGCCAUGCUGGA
rnacentral:SRP_RNA from 1 species